AUUGAACGCUGGCGGCAUGCCUUACACAUGCAAGUCGAACGGUAACAGGUCUUCGGAUGCUGACGAGUGGCGAACGGGUGAGUAAUACAUCGGAACGUGCCUAGUAGUGGGGGAUAACUACUCGAAAGAGUGGCUAAUACCGCAUGAGAUCUACGGAUGAAAGCAGGGGACCGCAAGACCUUGUGCUACUAGAGCGGCCGAUGGCAGAUUAGGUAGUUGGUGGGAUAAAAGCUUACCAAGCCGACGAUCUGUAGCUGGUCUGAGAGGACGAUCAGCCACACUGGGACUGAGACACGGCCCAGACUCCUACGGGAGGCAGCAGUGGGGAAUUUUGGACAAUGGGCGAAAGCCUGAUCCAGCAAUGCCGCGUGCAGGAUGAAGGCCUUCGGGUUGUAAACUGCUUUUGUGCGGAACGAAAAGCCCCGGGUUAAUACCCUGGGGUCAUGACGGUACCGUAAGAAUAAGCACCGGCUAACUACGUGCCAGCAGCCGCAGUAA
rnacentral:rRNA from 1 species